CUGAAGCUUUGGUAGUGUAACUGUAAGAGUCCUGGAAUUGGAAAAGCAAAUCCAGAAGUUGAGUUCCAUGACUUUUUUGCUGUUUGCCUUUGGACUUGCAUCAUUUAUAUUUUUAAUUCAUCGAGGAUGAGAAAAUUGAUUAACACAAAAUCUUUUCAUGUCUUUUCUGAUGAGAGACUAGCUGAAUCCAAGAAGAGAAGCCCUUGAAGAGUGUAUUCUAUUCUAGACAAGCAUUCACACAUUGGCUUCUUUGGUGCCAGAUUAAAGAAUGAAGAAAGGAUCAAAUUGAGACAUCCAGGGGGGAAGAGUUCCCUGGCAAAACUCCAAUCUGCCUGAGCACUGAGGUGGAGCCACAGAAGUCCGGGUCAUUUGCACCUGGGAGGAGCCUGGCCCCUCCUCUUCCUGUGUGGAAUCUGGGAUUUAAUCUGUGAGGAGGGAAGGCCAAGGGCAGGAAGCACAGGCUCUCACUUCACUAAGAGUCUCUGUUUCCCCUUUUUUUCCUUUAUGCCUAAUUAAUAAAUCCCAUUUUUCUCACUCUUCAAAUAGUCUUCAAGCCUAAAUUUUCAUGACCAUGGAACAAGGACCCCAUCUUUAGCUGAACUAAGGAAAAGUCCUGCAACAAAAUUCUUUGCUAAAAAUACAUGAGGUUGCCUUUUCCUUCUUAAUCUUAAAAGAAAUAUAUUUCAAUGGUUAACGUUUUAGUAAUUCAAAAAUUAUCAAGCAUUUGUUCACAACCAUAAGAUGUGCAUUGUUUUAUAUUCCUACUUAAUAAUAGACUAUAAUUGUCUAAUUAGACUGCCGAUGUUGAUCUUUGUGGCUCAUUGCAUUGAUUAUAAGCAGUGUUUUGGGUUUGUGUGUGUGUGUCAAAUUUAGGGUUUUUUUGGUAUGGCUGCUGGUUGGUGUAGCCUGUAUCCAGUAUCCUGUAUUAAUUCUAAUAUUUGCAUUUUGAACAUAUUUACAAGUUGCUAAAAUAGCAAAGCUUCGAGAUGAGCCUGGCUGAUAUGGCAAAACCCCGUCUCUACUAAAAAUACAAAAAUUAGCCUGGUGUGGUGGUGCAUGCCUGUAAUCCCAGCUACUUGGAAGUCUGAGGCAGGAG
rnacentral:lncRNA from 10 species